rnacentral:rRNA from 1 species
GACGAACGCUGGCGGCGUGCUUAACACAUGCAAGUCGAACGGAAAGGCACUGCUUUUGUGGGGUGCUCGAGUGGCGAACGGGUGAGUAACACGUGAGUAACCUGCCCUUGACUUUGGGAUAACUUCAGGAAACUGGGGCUAAUACCGGAUCGGAGCUCCUGCUGCAUGGUGGGGGUUGGAAAGUUUCGGCGGUUGGGGAUGGACGCGCGGCUUAUCAGUUUGUUGGUGGGGUAGUGGCUUACCAAGGCUUUGACGGGUAGCCGGCCUGAGAGGGUGACCGGCGUCAUUGGGGCUGAGAUACGGCCCAGACUCCUACGGGAGGCAGCAGUGGGGAAUAUUGCACAAUGGGCGGAAGCCUGAUGCAGCAACGCCGCGUGCGGGAUGACGGCCUUCGGGUUGUAAACCGCUUUCGCCUGUGACGAAGCGUGAGUGACGGUAAUGGGUAAAGAAGCACCGGCUAACUACGUG